UACGAGUGCCCCAAGCGUUAUCCGGAAUCAUUGGGCGUAAAGGGUGUGUAGGUGGCGAUGUUAGUCUUCUGUCAAAUUCUUCGGCUUAACCGGGGGUCUGCAGGGGAAACGGCAUUGCUCGAGGAUGCGAGGGGUGAAUGGAACUCAUGGAGUAGGGGUGAAAUCCGUUGAUAUCAUGGGGAACACCAAAAGCGAAGGCAAUUCACUGGCGCAUUCCUGACACUGAAACACGAAAGCGUGGGUAGCAAACAGG
rnacentral:rRNA from 1 species